rnacentral:rRNA from 1 species
UACGUAGGUGGCAAGCGUUGUCCGGAUUUACUGGGCGUAAAGGGCGUGCAGGCGGUCUGUUAAGUGCAGGGUGAAAGCUCCCGGCUCAACUGGGAGAGGUCCUUGCAUACUGGCGGACUUGAGGGGGGUAGAGGAAGGUGGAAUUCCUGGUGUAGCGGUGAAAUGCGUAGAUAUCAGGAGGAAUACCGGUGGCGAAGGCGGCCUUCUGGACGGUGACUGACGCUGAGACGCGAAAGCGUGGGGAGCAAACAGG